UCAAAUUUCUUUUUAAUUUUUUAAAUUAAAUUAAGACGGUGCUGGUAAUGUUAGUAUUUUAAAAGAUGAUGAAAAGGAAUAUGUAAUGUUUUUGAAAAAAAAACUAUUACGUAUUACUUAAGCAACUGUUCAAAGUGAAAACCAUUAAGUUUUUAAUUGGUUGCUGUACUUAUGGUGAGCUAUAACUUAUAAGCAUAGUUGCAAUUAUUAUUUAUUUAAUUAAUUAAACUAUUUUUUUAAGUUUUCUUUUAAAGAAGGGAGGUUGAUGCUUCAAUAAAAAUAUUGGGCAUAUGGAGCGGGGACAUCGGUUUAUUUGGACGAUACGACAUCAUAGAUGGAUGUAUAGGGCUCGGGAUAUAUGCGUUCAUAUUUUUUAGGAAAACAAGCUGAUCGAUGUUACAAGUGGUUUUUUUAAAAAAGAAAAUAAAGUUCUAGAUUUAUUAAAAAAGA